UCCGUAGGUGAACCUGCGGAAGGAUCAUUACAAGUGAGGCUACCGAACGUUGGAAACAGCGGUUAGGAGCUUACACCCACCCGUGUUUACAUACUAUUGUUGCUUUGGCGGGCCGUGGCCUCCACUGCGGGCUCUGCUCGUGUGUGCCCGCCAGAGAACCAAACUCUGAAUGUUAGUGAUGUCUGAGUACUAUCUAAUAGUUAAAACUUUCAACAACGGAUCUCUUGGUUCUGGCAUCGAUGAAGAACGCAGCGAAAUGCGAUAAGUAAUGUGAAUUGCAGAAUUCAGUGAAUCAUCGAAUCUUUGAACGCACAUUGCGCCCUGUGGUAUUCCGCAGGGCAUGCCUGUUCGAGCGUCAUUUAACCACUCACGCCUAGCGUGGUAUUGGGGCACGCGGUCUCCGCGGCCCUCAAAAUUAGUGGCGGCGCCGGUGGGCUCUAAGCGUAGUACAUACUCCCGCUAUAGAGUUCCCCCGGUGGCUCGCCAGAACCCCCAAUUUUUACAGGUUGACCUCGGAUCAGGUAGGGAUACCCGCUGAACUUAAGCAUAUCAAUAAGCGGAGGA
rnacentral:rRNA from 1 species